UAGGUUUGAUCCUGGCUCAGAACGAACGCUGGCGGCAUGCUUAACACAUGCAAGUCGAACGAGACCUUCGGGUCUAGUGGCGCACGGGUGCGUAACACGUGGGAAUCUACCUAAAGGUUCAGAAUAACAGUUAGAAAUGACUGCUAAUACUGGAUAAUGACUUCGGUCCAAAGAUUUAUUGCCUUUAGAUGAGCCCNCGCAAGAUUAGCUAGUUGGUGAGGUAAAAGCUCACCAAGGCGACGAUCUUUAGCUGGUCUGAGAGGAUGAUCAGCCACACUGGGACUGAGACACGGNCCAGACUCCUACGGGAGGNAGCAGUGGGGAAUAUUGGACAAUGGGNGGAAANCCUGAUCCAGCAAUGCCGCGUGAGNGAUGAANGNCUUANGGNUGUAAAGCUCUUUUNCUAGGGANGANAAUGACNGUACCUAGAGAAUAANCUCCCGGCUAANUCCNNGCCNGCAGCCNCGGNAAU
rnacentral:rRNA from 1 species